AGGCCUACGGGGCGCAGCAGUGGGGAAUAUUGCACAAUGGGGGAAACCCUGAUGCAGCGACGCCGCGUGAGUGAAGAAGUAAUUCGUUACGUAAAGCUCUAUCAGCAGGGAAGAAACACUGACCUUACGGUCAGCAGACGGUACCUGAGUAAGAAGCCCCGGCUAACUACGUGCCAGCAGCCGCGGUAAUACGUAGGGGGCAAGCGUUAUCCGGAUUUACUGGGUGUAAAGGGGGCGCAGACGGCAAUGCAAGCCAGGAGUGAAAGCCCGGGGCCCAACCCCGGGACUGCUCUUGGCACUGCAUG
rnacentral:rRNA from 1 species